rnacentral:snRNA from 1 species
AGCUUUGUGUAGUGGCAGAAUCAUAGUCAAUGAAGUUAAUCUGAGGUGUGAUUAUUGCUAGUUGAAAACUUUUCCCAAUACUCUGCUGUGUUGAUUUGAAAUAUAGUUAACACUAGCAAUUUUUGACAGUCUCCUGUGAGA